rnacentral:rRNA from 1 species
CCUACGGGCGGCAGCAGUGGGGAAUAUUGGACAAUGGGGGGAACCCUGAUCCAGCCAUGCCGCGUGUGUGAAGAAGGCCCUCGGGUUGUAAAGCACUUUCAGUGAGGAAGAACGCCUGGUGGUUAAUACCCAUCAGGAAAGACAUCACUCACAGAAGAAGCACCGGCUAACUCCGUGCCAGCAGCCGCGGUAAUACGGAGGGUGCGAGCGUUAAUCGGAAUUACUGGGCGUAAAGCGCGCGUAGGUGGCUUGAUAAGCCGGUUGUGAAAGCCCCGGGCUCAACCUGGGAACGGCAUCCGGAACUGUCAAGCUAGAGUGCAGGAGAGGAAGGUAGAAUUCCCGGUGUAGCGGUGAAAUGCGUAGAGAUCGGGAGGAAUACCAGUGGCGAAGGCGGCCUUCUGGACUGACAAUGACACUGAGGUGCGAAAGCGUGGGUAGCAAACAGGAUUAGAUACCCGAGUCGUC